rnacentral:rRNA from 1 species
GNUCCCGAGCGUUGUCCGGAUUUAUUGGGCGUAAAGGGAGCGCAGGCGGUCAGGAAAGUCUGGAGUAAAAGGNUAUGGCUCAACCAUAGUGUGCUCUGGAAACUNUCUGACUUGAGUGCAGAAGGGGAGAGUGGAAUUCCAUGUGUAGCGGUGAAAUGCGUAGAUAUAUGGAGGAACACCAGUGGCGAAAGCGGCUCUCUGGUCUGUCACUGACGCUGAGGCUCGAAAGCGUGGGUAGCGAACAGGAUUAGAUACCCUGGUAGUNCACGCCGUAAACGAUGAGUGCUAGGUGUUAGGCCCUUUCCGGGGCUUAGUGCCGGAGCUAACGCAAUAAGCACUCCGCCUGGGGAGUACGACCGCAAGGUUGAAGCUCAAAGGAAUUGACGGGGGCCCGCACAAGCGGUGGAGCAUGUGGUUUAAUUCGAAGCAACGCGAAGAACCUUACCAGGUCUUGACAUCCCGAUGCUAUUCUUAGAGAUAGGAAGUUACUUCGGUACAUCGGAGACAGGUGGUGCAUGGUUGUCGUCGGCUCGUGUCGUGAGAUGUUGGGUUAAGUCCCGCAACGAGCGCAACCCUUAUUGUUAGUUGCCAUCAUUAAGUUGGGCACUCUAGCGAGACUGCCGGUAAUAAACCGGAGGAAGGUGGGGAUGACGUCAAAUCAUCAUGCCCCUUAUGACCUGGGCUACACACGUGCUACAAUGGUCGGUACAACGAGUUGCGAGCCGGUGACGGCAAGCUAAUCUCUGAAAGCCGAUCUCAGUUCGGAUUGGAGGCUGCAACUCGCCUCCAUGAAGUCGGAAUCGCUAGUAAUCGCGGAUCAGCACGCCGCGGUGAAUACGUUCCCGGGCCUUGUACACACCGCCCGUCACACCACGAGAGUUUGUAACACCCGAAGUCGGUGAGGUANCCUUUUAGGG